AUCUUGGACAAUGGGGGAAACCCUGAUCCAGCCAUGCCGCGUGAGUGAUGAAGGCCUUCGGGUUGUAAAGCUCUUUUGUCCGGAAAGAAAAGCUUUCGGUUAAUACCCGGAAGUCAUGACGGUACCGGAAGAAUAAGCCCCGGCUAACUUCGUGCCAGCAGCCGCGGUAAUACGAAGGGUGCAAGCGUUACUCGGAAUUACUGGGCGUAAAGCGUGCGUAGGUGGUUCGUUAAGUCUGAUGUGAAAGCCCUGGGCUCAACCUGGGAAUUGCAUUGGAUACUGGCGGGCUAGAGUGCGGUAGAGGAUGGCGGAAUUCCCGGUGUAGCAGUGAAAUGCGUAGAUAUCGGGAGGAACAUCCGUGGCGAAGGCGACUACCUGGACCAGCACUGACACUGAGGCACGAAAGCGUGGGGAGCAAACAGG
rnacentral:rRNA from 1 species